rnacentral:rRNA from 1 species
CCUACGGGAGGCAGCAGUGGGGAAUCUUGCGCAAUGGGGGCAACCCUGACGCAGCCAUGCCGCGUGAAUGAUGAAGGCCUUAGGGUUGUAAAGUUCUUUUGCCCGUGACGAUGAUGACGGUAACGGGAGAAUAAGCUCCGGCUAACUUCGUGCCAGCAGCCGCGGUAAUACGAAGGGGGCUAGCGUUGUUCGGAAUUACUGGGCGUAAAGCGCGCGCAGGCGGUUCGAUAAGUUAGGGGUGAAAUCCCUGGGCUCAACCCAGGAAUGGCCUUUAAGACUGUCGAGCUAGAGGACGAGAGAGGUGAGUGGAAUUCCCAGUGUAGAGGUGAAAUUCGUAGAUAUUGGGAAGAACACCGGUGGCGAAGGCGGCUCACUGGCUCGUUUCUGACGCUGAGGCGCGAAAGCGUGGGGAGCAAACAGGAUUAGAUACCCUGGUAGUCCACGCCCUAAACGAUGAGUGCCAGGUGUCGGGAAGCUUAGCUUCUCGGCGCCGCAGCUAACGCCUUAAGCACUCCGCCUGGGGAGUACGGCCGCAGGUUAAAACUCAAAGGAAUUGACGG